UGGACAAUAGCAGGGGCAUGAGUUGGUU
rnacentral:sRNA from 1 species